GUACACGCUGUGACUAGCAUAUCAAUAAGCGGAGGAAAAGAAACUAACAAGGAUUCCCCUAGUAACGGCGAGUGAAGCGGGAAGAGCUCAAAUUUGAAAUCCUAAAGGGUUUCCCUUUACGAAUUGUAGUUUUAAAGAAGUGUUUUCUGUUGAGGUUUUGGUAAAAGUUCUUUGGGAAUAGGGACAUCAUAGAGGGUGAGAAUCCCGUAUUUGACCUUUACUUUCAACUUUGUGAUACACUUUCAAAGAGUCGGAUUGUUUGGGAAUGCAGUCCAAAAUGGGUGGUAAAUUUCAUCUAAAGCUAAAUAUUGGCGAGAGACCGAUAGCGAACAAGUACCGUGAGGGAAAGAUGAAAAGAACUUUGAAAAGAGAGUUAAACAGUACGUGAAAUUGUCAAAAGGGAAGCGUUUGACACCAGUGUUGUUUUUCUGAAAAUCAAUUAAAGAACUGUUUAUGCUAAGCUGUUUAGACUUUAUCAGCUAUCUGUUUAGUUUUGAGCUUUUCUUUAAUGCACUUUUCAGUUAACAAGUCAACAUCAAUUUCUUUUGCUGUAAAAAAGCUUGAGGAAGGUGGCUUGAGAUUCGUCUUAAGUGUUUAUAGCCUCUUGCCUAUGCAGUCGGAGAGAUUGAGGUCUGCAGCGUAGAUCCUUCGGGGCUAAAUGCAUUUGUGCUAAGUUAUAGCAUUUUAUAGACAACUUGUUGACUAUGAUUUGUCUUGUAGCUUACUCGCUUAUGUUAUUUUACCUACGCUUAGGAUGUUGAUAUGCAUGACUGAUAU
rnacentral:rRNA from 1 species